GGCCGGGCCGGGACAGGCCGCACCGGGACAGGCCGCACCGGGACAGGCCGCACCGGGACAGGCCGCGGCGCUCCGGCUCCUCCUGCCCCCGUGCGCGUCAGUUUCCGUGCCCGGGGCCCGUUGAGGAAGGCCCCGCCGCUGCCCGCGGCAGCAGCAGCAGCAGGUGCUGUGCGCAGCAGCCACAGAACCUCGAGGGCUGGAAGGGAUCUGCGAAGCUCAUCCAGUGCAGCCCCCUGCCAGAGCAGGGCCAGCUAGAGCAGGGCACACAGGGACUCGUCCAGCUUGUGCCCGUUGCCCCUUGUCCUGUCACUGGCCAUCCCUGAGCACAGCCUGGCGCCAGCCUCCUCACACCCACCCUUGAUAGCUGUAACCAUGGAUGAGCUCAGCCUCAGUCUCUGGAUGGCCGCAGGCCACUGGCAGGUGGGACAGGGAAGGGUUUGUUCCUGGUCUGGGAACCCUGGGAUGCCACUGCAGGCCCAAACGAGCUGUGCUGGAACCUCCCCAGACAAACCUCCAUCCAGUUUCUCCUCAGCAGUUGCUGUGGGUCAGUCCCAUGGUGCUAAAUGAGCUGCCUCAGCCCCUGCCUCGCCCUGCUCACCCCGAGUGUGCUCCAGGGACAGGAGCAGAGGAGAUCCUCAUCCAGGCUCCGACUCUGCUUUCCUGGGUAAACCUGUGCUGUCCUGUUACUUCUUCCUUUGCCUUGGUUUUAACUGGGGUGAUGCUGUGUUAACAGCAGUAGAACUUGUCUAAGGGUGUUUGUAAAACUUUGAGUCUUUCAAAGGAAAUCAAGGGUGAAGGACAAAAGAAAGAAAAAGAAAAUCCAACUGCACAAGAAAAUGGAACCCUCCCCCUAAAACUGCUGUGUUAUUAAUGUAGUGGCUGUAAGGAGAAAGCAAAAAGGAACAUCCUACUGUAUCCAUAAAGAGCUUGUGGCAGCACCUCCAGAAAAGAUGCAUUUUAAAGCAAAGCAGACAUGGACUGAGACUUUUCCAAAUCUAUACGUACCUAAUCUGCUUUCUAGACAUGUAAGUGCCUGAAAUGAAAAGUCUUGAUGAAGUAAAAUGUCAUUUGUUCCAGACAUUAAAUGUUAAUUACAUGAUGAAGCCCUCUAGAACAACACAAGAGCGUAAGUGGUGCAUUGGCUCCUUGCCUAAAGGAAACUUUCUCCAAGUGUUUUACCAAGUAAAGUGUCUUUCUUGAGGUAGUUAAUGCUCAGAACACGAUGUUUGAGUAGGUGGUGUUGCUGAGAGGAGCAGGCCUGCCUUGCUUUCCAAGAGGAGUGGUGGCUCUUACAUCAGAAGUGAGUCAGGCAUCCUGCAGGCUCCCUCUGAACAGCACCCCAAUAGCAGAUGGCCUAGAACUUAAACUGGGGUCACACAUGUCCAGGCCAAAGCUACAUGUCUGUAAUGUGCCCCCUAAUUACUGAUCAUCAGUGCUCUCCAUCAGUGUGUUAUUCAGAUGAGAGGAUGCAACAGAAUUGGGAUGAGUGGGCAAAGCUAUUGUCUGAUGUUGGCUUCUUCCUCCAGUAUUCAAAAUGACUUGCCAAUGGGAGGGAACAGAAACAGCCACAGGAAAGAAACCCAAACCCCAACCUCCUGAUUGUGCCAGUCCUGCAGAAAAAACCCAGCACCAGUGUUCAGACUGGAGGAACUGCAGAGACAAGCCUGGCACUAGCCCCUGCCAGGGAAGGGGAAAGCCCUGCCUUGAAAUAUGAGGGAAUCAGCUUGUGUUAGGGAUUGGGAAAGGAGAGAUGCCCUGAUUUACAAGUUCUCACUGAGGGCACCUUGCAGAUGGUGAACUCUGACAUGUGCUGACAUUACUCAAGGUUGCUGUGCCACUGAAGAGGGGGAAAAGGUGCCUGGCAGUUUAAAUUCAGGGAAAGGAAGGAAUGUGUGUGUUUUCCAAAGAGCUGUUUGGUUUCUGCUGACUGCCAGCCACGUUGCUCUGUCCCACACGGGCCAGGGAC